AGCCCAGAAAAGUUUUAUUUGAACCCACAGCAUCUGAGAGAGGUCUUGAUGAAGAAGAUCUGGCGGUGAAGGAGUUGCAAGGCAGUCCCAGCCCUCGGUGGUGCCAUGCCAUGUGCCUCAGUGACCUGGGGACAGCUGUUCUCAUUGGUGGAGAAGGUGUCAAUCAACAGUCCUGCAGGGAUGCUCUCUGGAAGCUGGAAAUUGG